AAAAAAAUACUUUUUAACUCUCUCUCUCUCUCUCUCUCUCUCAUCUCCUCAAAUCAAAAUCUCCGAAAUCUCAAGAGUAAUUUCAUCUGACGGAAUCGUUUCCUUCUCCAUUUGGCGAUUCGCGGAGCUCCCAGAAAUCGUUUGCGACUUCUUCUUAGUAUCUGAUUGCCGGAGCACCGGAACUCGUCCGCUGAUCUACAUUCCGUAAUCGCCGAAAUCUGAUCGGAGCAACGGCGGCAAGAAGGCGUUACGAAGCGGCCGCGUAGAUGGAGACGGAGGAGGAGGGGGAGCAUCGUCGGGUCAAACCGUAUCGGAGCAAGAAAUUCGUCACGGACGGUGGCUGAGUUAGUUAGUUCCGGUACAAAAUCGAAGAUCGGUUCUAGGAAUCGUAGGGCGUCAAUUCUCAGGAUCGCUUACGUUGCUCAUUGUGAUAUCCCCAGCAAAUUUUUCUUAUGUUAAUAACUACUGAUUCUUCUUAUGUUAAUAAUAUUAGUAUAUAUUUUGAGCUUCAUAGUGCUUUUAAUCUAUAUCGUUAAUUACGGAGAUACUUGAGUUUAUAUUUUACUAGUGUAGAUUGACAUUUGUGAUUUGAUUUUAGCUUGGGAAUCGUGUGGAGACAAUGGUGCUACCUAUCUUAUCUUGAGAGCUUCUUCAACUGCUUUAAACUUCAGAUUUCCCAGACCAAGAAGAAGAGUAUGAAUCAAGGCAGAGAAGAAACCUGAAGCUUCUUAGAUCCGGCCAGUUUGUUAUUAUUAUAUCCUUUGUGUGCCGUUAAGCUGGAAUGCAAAAGUUGAGGGUUGAAAUCGCAGCCAGGGUCCCCAGACCAUUGAGACAUUGCGGGAGGAGCUUUCCACCACUGAAAGGAGAGCUGAAGAGGAGCAUUCUCCUCAUAUUAAGGUUGAUAGUCCCAAAAGAAAGGGCACACAACGGGAGUUAGAUGAUUCUUCAUAAAUAGAUACCUGAAGAAACUGGAAUCUGUAGUGCAUGUAUCUCCGGUUGGUGAAGGGAAUGUGGCUCAAGGCGCGGGCGAUGAGGCAAAAGUUGGCAUUUCAAUCAAUCUGGAGAAAGAACAGGUAGAGCUGAUAAGACGUCCAUGAAGAUUCAAGAUCAACUUGAAGAGGUUUUGUGUGAGUCUCGGGGAAAUGAAGAUUAUAGCAAAUGCUACUU